rnacentral:rRNA from 1 species
UACGAGGGGUGCAAGCGUUGCUCGGAAUUACUGGGCGUAAAGCGCACGUAGGCGGUCUUUUAAGUCAGAGGUAAAAUCCUGGAGCUCAACUCCAGAACUGCCUUUGAUACUGAGGAUCUUGAGUUCGGGAGAGGUGAGUGGAACUGCGAGUGUAGAGGUGAAAUUCGUAGAUAUUCGCAAGAACACCAGUGGCGAAGGCGGCUCACUGGCCCGAUACUGACGCUGAGGCACGAAAGCGUGGGGAGCAACAGG